AUCCUGGCUCAGGAUGAACGCUAGCGGCAGGCUUAAUACAUGCAAGUCGUGGGGCAGCAUGAGUAGCAAUACUUGAUGGCGACCGGCGAACGGGUGAGGAACACGUACACAACCUUCCUUCAAGCGGGGAAUAGCCCAGAGAAAUUUGGAUUAAUACCCCAUAAUAUAUUUGAUAAGGCAUCUUAUUAAUAUUAAAGCUUCGGCACUUGAUGAUGGGUGUGCGGCUGAUUAGAUAGUUGGCGGGUAACGGCCCACCAAGUCUACGAUCAGUAGCUGAUGUGAGAGCAUGAUCAGCCACACGGGCACUGAGACACGGGCCCGACUCCUACGGGAGGCAGCAGUAAGGAAUAUUGGACAAUGGACGAAAGUCUGAUCCAGCCAUGCCGCGUGAAGGAUUAAGGUCCUCUGGAUUGUAAACUUCUUUUAUAUGGGACGAAAAAAGGGCAUUCUUGUUCACUUGACGGUACCAUAUGAAUAAGCACCGGCUAACUCCGUG
rnacentral:rRNA from 1 species